rnacentral:rRNA from 1 species
UACGGAGGGUGCAAGCGUUAUCCGGAAUCACUGGGUUUAAAGGGUGCGUAGGCGGUUUUCUAAGUCAGUCGUGAAAUCUUGGCGCUUAACGUUAAAAUUGCGAUUGAUACUGGGAGACUUGAAUCAGGUUGAGGCAGGCGGAAUGUGGCAUGUAGCGGUGAAAUGCAUAGAUAUGCCAUAGAACACCGAUUGCGAAGGCAGCUUGCUGGGCUUAGAUUGACGCUGAGGCACGAAAGCGUGGGGAGCAAACAGG